CUCUUUGUAGACACUCGGGAUGGGAGAGAGGUUGGCAUUGAUGGUUAACCUCUCUUGAUAUUGAAAAGUCUGGGUGUUUAUGUAUUUUUUGACAUACACGGUUGAAUGUCUAUAGAAUGAAAUGUAGGCUUUUGUCAGCCUUUAAAUGAUAAAAUACAACUUUCAACAACGGAUCUCUUGGCUCUCGCAUCGAUGAAGAACGCAGCGAAAUGCGAUAAGUAAUGUGAAUUGCAGAAUUCAGUGAAUCAUCGAAUCUUUGAACGCAUCUUGCGCUCCUUGGUAUUCCGAGGAGCAUGCCUGUUUGAGUGUCAUUAAAUAUCUCAAAAAGUUUGUGCUUUUUUGGCAUAAGAUUUUUUGGACAUUGGGAGUUGCCGGCUGCUGAUAAAGUGGUGGGCUCUUCUGAAAAGCAUUAGUUGAGGAGCUUUGCACUCUAUUGGUGUGAUAGACUAUCUAUGCCAGGAGAUGCUUCAUGAUCCUCUGCCAUCUAACUGUCUUUAUUAGACAACAUGAUAAACUUGACCCCAAAUCAGGUAGGACUACCCGCUGAACUUACCCCUAUC
rnacentral:rRNA from 1 species